GAGAGGCUGGUGGGGGAGGAAGGGGAGUCAGUGUCUAAUGGGCACAGAGGUUCAGUUUGCAAGAUGAAAACGUUCUUGAGAUGGUUGCUGCUGAUGGUUGCACAACAACGUGAGCAUACUUA